CCUACGGGGGGCUGCAGUGGGGAAUAUUGCACAAUGGGCGAAAGCCUGAUGCAGCAACGCCGCGUGAGCGAUGAAGGUCUUCGGGUCGUAAAGCUCUGUCCUAAGGGAAGAAUACUGACGGUACCUUAGGAGGAAGCCCCGGCUAACUACGUGCCAGCAGCCGCGGUAAUACGUAGGGAGCUAGCGUCAUCCGGAAUUACGGGGCGUGAAGGGUGCGUAGGCGGCACUUCAAGUCAGAGGUGAAAGGCUACGACUCAACCGUAGUAAGCCUUUGAAACUGUAGGGCUUGAGUGCAGGAGAGUGGAGUGGAAUUCCCAGUGUAGCGGUGAAAGGCGUAGAUAUUGUGAGGAACACCAGUUGCGAAGGCGGCUCUCUGGACUGUAACUGACGCUGAGGCACGAAAGUGUGGGGAGCGAACAGGAUUAGAUACCCGUGUAGUC
rnacentral:rRNA from 1 species